CAUAGCUUCAUCUCCUCUUGCUCCACCAAAAAGGGGGCCCUUUCUACGGAAUGCCUCACCCGCCGGGCACUGCCCGGAUCCCCCGCACCCCGACGUGCAACGCCCUUGAGUCCGGCGCGGGUGGGACACGGCGCUGGGGGGCGGCAGAGGGGGGACGGCCGCGGCGACAGGGGACACGCGCAUGCGCAGAUAUGGGUACCCGCCCGUUCACCUACCGUUGGAACCGCGACGCCCCGUUCCCUGGCCGCGGCCGCUUCUCCAGGACCCGCGGCGGCGGCAAGAGGGCGAGAACUGAGGCCCCGAGAGGCUCCGCGGCCGGCGAGCUUCUUCCUGCGGCGGCCGCUGGAGGGAGGCUGAAGCGACGGCUGUAGCGCGGGGCCAGCCCGUGCCUUCCCUUUGGAACCAGGCCUCAAACUAACCACUGCUCACACUGGGCUUCUUGGGCAUCAUAUCACCAUCAGCCACCAAUGCUUCCCUAAGACUCCUGGAAUCUCAACAUACUGGAACAUCAGAGGUGGAAGGAGCCUUCAGGAUUAUCUGGUCCUAGCUCCUUCCUAGCUUGAUGAACCCCUUUCCAGAGGGGACCCUCUUUCCAGAUUGAAGGACUUUGGUCAAUCGAGC
rnacentral:lncRNA from 1 species